rnacentral:rRNA from 1 species
GACGAACGCUGGCGGCGUGCUUAACACAUGCAAGUCGAACGGAAAGGCCCUGCUUUUGUGGGGUGCUCGAGUGGAGAACGGGUGAGUAACACGUGAGUAACCUGCCCUUGACUUUGGGAUAACUUCAGGAAACUGGGGCUAAUACCGGAUAGGAGCUCCUGCUGCAUGGUGGGGGUUGGAAAGUUUCGGCGGUUGGGGAUGGACUCGCGGCUUAUCAGCUUGUUGGUGGGGUAGUGGCUUACCAAGGCUUUGACGGGUAGCCGGCCUGAGAGGGUGACCUGCCACAUUGGGACUGAGCUACGGCCCAGACUCCUACGGGAGGCAGCAGUGUGGAAUAUUGCACAAUGGGCUGAAGCCUGAUGCAGCAACGCCGCGUGCGGGAUGACGGCCUUCGGGUUGUAUACCGCUUUCGCCUGUGACGAAGCGUGAGUGACGGUAAUGGGUAAAGAAGCACCGGCUAACUCCGUG